rnacentral:rRNA from 1 species
UACGUAGGGGUGCAAGCGUUGUCCGGAAUUAUUGGGCGUAAAGGAGCUCGUAGGCGGUCUGUCACGUCGGCUGUGAAAUCCCGAGGCUCAACCUCGGGUCUGCAGUCGAUACGGGCAAACUAGAGUAUUGCAGGGGAGACUGGAAUUCCUGGUGUAGCGGUGAAAUGCGCAGAUAUCGGGAGGAACACCGGUGGCGAAGGCGGUUCUCUGGGCCUUACCUGGACG